GAUGGGACGCCCACCUCGGGGCUGGAGCGGGCGCGGCUCUCUGGGCUCCGCAGGUCCGCGCGCGAGCUGAGCUGCCUGGAGCCGGCGGCCUCCACCGCUUUCCGCGCGCCGCUCCCGGCGGAGACGAAUCCCUCUUCGUUCGUUCCCUUUCUUUCUUUUCUUUCUUUCAUUAAGCUUCUCGGUGCUCUUUAGGUGUGCAGUGCCGUUACAUCGCCGCUGGGAUCCUGCACCUUUGCUUACAAAUUGCCGGUGAGGAAGUUUAAAGCUCCAUCGUCACUCCUAAGUGCUUCGGCAGGUGCUCUGUGAGGACACCAUCCACUUCCACAACUGCCAGCCUGGGAAAGAACCGAUCCGCUAUCACCCAGUCUGCCUCUCCCUGGCUUUCUCCCUCUGGGAGCAAUUGACAGACGUCGAUCUGGACCCCUGGAUUAUUGCCUUGUUCAGUGCAUGAUACCACAUUAUAAUAUUUAUUCUGAUGCGCAGUCUAUUCCAGAGUUGGUCUUUGGGCCUUGGAGUGAGACUUUUCUCCAACCA
rnacentral:lncRNA from 1 species